GAGUCUGUCUAUUGCAGGGUGCUGCUGAUGUCCUCUAACUUCUUUUGCAAGCAUUCAGUCUAUUGCAGGAUGCAUCUGAUCAUUUGGAGUGGAGGAAAGUUGCCUGCCAGCCUACAAAGUGCCACAAAAGUGUUGUUCUGUUCCUGCCUAAUAUUUGUGUGAUAUGUACAUAUAAUUAUUGUGUACUGUUGUAAUUAGUUGUUGUACUAACAAUUAAGCAAUUGAUGCCAUCUCUUGAAAAUAGAUUUUAUUUUUUGUUUA